ACUAGUGCGCAAUGCGCAGACUCGGAUGCCACACCCGGUGACAGGCGCGAAGUGCUGCCUGACCCGCUGAGUUCCUCCAGUAGAUGUUUUUUUUGUUCAAGAAUCCAGCAUCUUCUGUUGUUUUCUACUGAGUUGGGGAUAAUAAGCACAAGCGCAAAUAUGAAGUCAAACGGUGAGCUUCACGUCUGUCUUGGAGAGGGUUCCACCCCAGAGAAUUCAGAAGUUUGGUGACACUGGCUGAACAAUAUCUAACCUUGUGAUGUGGACUCGAUAAGAAGUUGUUCUCCUCCUCUAGAUUUUAGGUCAUACUUUGUGAUACCACUGUCAACUGUCUGAUGUUGUACCUUAAUCAUGAAAGAGAGUCAUGCACUCUGAUUUGGAAGGGAAAAUUUACAUUUUCUACCCCCAUGUUAGUCUGUACACCUUAAGGUUAAAUCUAACAAAAUCCAAAAGUAUACUCAUCAGAAGUACGAUUUAUUUUUAACAAAACUAUUGGAAACAACUUUAACAUAGGAAAAAACUGGCACAGAUUUCACAAUCUUAUUUUUCAUGUGUGAAACUGCCUGCAGCAUUGGAAAAUUACUCUCAUGUUUCACAAUGAACGAUCAAAUCAAAGUUGAACAAACAACAUGGUUUAUUGUAAUGCAAAUGCUCUGUGUUGUAAUACCUCUUGACCUUUGCAAAACAGAAGUUUAAAGAUGUAAACACUGAUAUCUAAGCAGUUCCGAGCAAUCUGUGGAACUUCAUUUGUCUAUUUUGUCUUCAAGAGUGACUAUUAAUGUUCUACGGUUGUUCCUUUGUUUUGUAAAUGUUUUAGAGGGAGCAUCUAUUUUGAAUCUAAGUGUGAAAUGGUACAUAAAAUUGUCCAGCUAAAUUAAAAUUUCCCCCCAAAAUAUAUUAGCAAAAUUCGAAAUGUAAGAUGUUCUCUGAACUAUUUCAAAUGGAAAGCAUAACAGAACGCAACCAUUUUAAUUUAUUUUCAGUCUAGAUGAAGGGUUUUCCUCCACAGAUGCUGACUGAUCUUCUGAAUUCCCCCAGCUACUCUUUCAUUGCUACAGAUUCCAGCAUCAGAGGUCUCUUGUGCUAAAGAGAUUUUAAGUAUGCCCACUGGUGCCUAGCCACCUGAGAGGAUGAGCAUAAUUUGAACCAACAAAUCAGUGAAUCUUACAUAGUUGGCCUGGAGAUAUGACUGGAACCUGAUACGUUAAUUCAAUCAUAAUAGCCGGAUCUCCUGCAAGUAUUUAUAGCUAAACUGAGAACUACAAUCUCACCUCUCAAUACCAUUAACGCUCAUUGAGUUCAGCAGUCAACUUGUGCAAUGAUUCCAACACGUGGAUCACAGACACAUACUGAAGACAACUUGACCAAUCUUCAUAGCACUGACAAUAUUUUUCAAACAUUUUAAAUAAUUGAAAAAUAUUUGGUAAGAAAACGGAGAAGAUGCAGGUGAGGGCUCCACCAACCACAGCCCUGUUUCCUAAAAUGAUGAGCUGGAUAUCUUGGAGAGCAAGGACUCAUCUCAAGAACAGAUGUCAUAGAGUGAUACAGUGUGAAAACAGCCCCUUCGGCCCAACUUGCCCACACUGGCCGACAUGUCCCAGCCACACUAGU